CAGGGCUUCAUGCAUGCUAGGCAAGCGCUCUACCACUAAGCCACAUGCCCAGCCCCAUACUAUGGCUUUGAUUUACAUUUCUUUAACAACGAAUGGUAAUGCACUUGGGGAGUUUAAUCUUGAAGCAACCUUUCUAGAAGUUUGGGAAGUUAAUUAGAUUGGUAUGGCUUAAAACUUUAUGACAUGGACACAUAUAUCACCAUUAUAUUCACUAAGUAAAGAUUACCAGAAAAAAGGACUGAAACAAAAUCAGAAAUUUUUAGCUGGGUACAGCUUAUGCCUAUAAUCUCAGCUACUUAGGCAGCAGAGAUGGGGAGCAUCAAGGCUCGAGGACAGCCCA